rnacentral:lncRNA from 1 species
UUUCAUAUGCCAGGUACAUACACAUCUCCAUUGUUUUGCUGACAGAUUCUCUUCUAAAUGGAUUAUCCCCACUCCCCCUAUUCUAUAGGCCUUGGUCUUAUCCAUUGUUAAACUCUAUUCAGUGAUGAAAACUUUCCUGACAUCUUCACAUAAUGUCAUUCUUUCUACCUGUAAACUCAUUAUUGUCUGUGUCUUUCAAAAGGAAUUCUUAGCAUAUUGUUGCACACGCAUGGAAAGGGGGAAAAGUUUCUGAGAAUAAAAAAUCAUAUGAAGACAAAUGCUGUACUUGGAUUUUCCUUAUGAUUGAGAGAGACUAUGAUGUUAGUGACACCUGGAAUAAACAUAUUAGAGUGAAGAACUAUGCUUCUUUUUUAUAGUUAAAUGAAAAAAAUGAUUUUCAAACCCCAACUCUCUAUUAUGACAAAUUGGGAAGGGAUAGUUUUCAUGAUCACUGACUACUGUGGCUGCAUUCAUUGGUGAAUUUAUUGAAUAAAUUUCAGUAGAUUCAUUAUUAGUGUUGGAUCAAAUUGUGGUAGGCAGAAUCAUGACCUUCUAAAGAUGUCCAUAUCCUAAUUCCUGGAGCCUGUUUGUGAUUAUAUUAAUUUGCAUGGCAAAAGGAAUUUUGCCCAUAUGAUUAAAUGGAGUUUUAGAUGAGAGACUAUUUUGGAUUACUCAGGACUGGCCCAUGUCAUCACAAGAUUCAUUAUAAGUUCAAGAUGGAGAGGGGAGUGUCAUUGUCAGAGUGAUACUCUAUGAUAAUGAUUCUGUAGACAUUUCUGCUCUGAAGAUGGAGGAAGGGGACCAUGAGCCAAGA